rnacentral:sRNA from 1 species
UCUCCUGAGGAAGCAAUCCUGCCAUUGGAUGCCAUUUGACUUCAGCCUGAAAGCCACUUUCCUGGGGUUCCGGACUACUAGGCUACGAAGGAUGUUCCGGACUAGCUGGUGUCCGCAGUCCUGUGUCUGGCUCAGUCCAGAUCCACGUCUUCAAACAGUUCCAGAGCUGUCCAGCAAUCUGACCUGUCUAUGGUUUUCUCCGUGCAUGAUUUCUUCCUCUGGAGAACAUGCUGCUGUUUCAUUUAUAAAAGAAAAAAGGAAGGAAAGAAGAAGAGAGCGCAUCUUGAUCCCAUUUGUCUUUUCCUGAACUACACCAGCGUUUUGGCUUUUUAGUGAAUUAAUUGGUUUACUUUUUUUAAAUGAAACUCAUCUGUACAGCUUUGUAUA